UCACAAUAGCCUCAGGAACCUACUUCACUU
rnacentral:piRNA from 1 species